UACGUAGGGGGCAAGCGUUGUCCGGAAUUAUUGGGCGUAAAGCGCGCGCAGGCGGUUCUUUAAGUCCGGUGUUUAAACCUAGGGCUCAACCUUGGGUCGCACGGGAAAACUGGGGGGACUGGAGUGUAGGAGAGGAAAGUGGAAUUCCACGUGUAGCGGUGAAAUGCGUAGAGAUGUGGAGGAACACCAGUGGCGAAGGCGACUUUCUGGCCUAUAACUGACGCUGAGGCGCGAAAGCGUGGGGAGCAAACAGG
rnacentral:rRNA from 1 species